UACGUAGGGUGCGAGCGUUGUCCGGAAUUAUUGGGCGUAAAGAGCUUGUAGGCGGUUUGUCGCGUCUGCUGUGAAAAUCAAUAGCUUAACUGUGGACGUGCAGUAGGUACGGGCAGGCUAGAGUGUGGUAGGGGAGACUGGAAUUCCUGGUGUAGCGGUGAAAUGCGCAGAUAUCAGGAGGAACACCGAUGGCGAAGGCAGGUCUCUGGGCCAUUACUGACGCUGAGAAGCGAAAGCAUGGGUAACGAACAGGAUUA
rnacentral:rRNA from 1 species